CAAAUUAAGUGUCACGACCCAAAUUUCGAGUCAUGACCGACGCAUGGACCCAAUGGACAUAGUCCACUAAGCCCAAGCAAGCCUAUUAAUCUGACAUAUUCAUCAUUCCAUCAUAAACUGCUAAGUCAUAUAUCAUAACUUAGAAUCAAAAUAAUAUUGAACAUUGCCCCUCAUACUGGCAUACCAAACAAGUGUAUAUACACUGUCUACAACAUGUAUCUUAAUAAUUCACAUUAGGUUCGUCUAUACAUAACAAAAGAAGACUCGAUGUCCAGCGGAGAAACUUGACGAAUGUACACUUACUAAAUGUUGAGACACCUACUAAUAGUCGAGUCUACAAAGGUACCUCGACCUAGUUACCAGCUGCCUUGUAAUCUGAAAACAUGAAGUUGAAAGCGGUGAGCAUAAACUCAGUGAGUGAACAAGAAAGGGAACAAGCAUACCAUAAGGAAUGUUUAACGAAAUCAUGAUGCAUUCAUUUUCUCAAAACAAUGCAAUUGUUUUGGCUCUUUUAAACCCCUCAUGUAAACCCCACAUGAGUAAAUCACUUUACAAAGAUCCAUGCUCAACUAUGGUACCAAAGAAAUGGGAAAUAAGGCAAAAACCCACAAGUUAGCAAAAUGGACAGAAAGUUUCUCGCUGUAGCAAACUUCAUUCUCGCUGCAGCGAGAACCAGGUCUGGUGAAGGCCCUCAAACCCAAGAGUUUCUCGCUGCAACAAGAAUGAAUCUAGCUAUAGCGAGAAUUAUAACAUCAAGGAAAAAGUCUCCUUUUCCCUUAAAACAAGCCAUCCUGCUAAAAUAACAAUAGUAACAUGUAAUUCAUGUAGACUCCCAAAUUUCAACGAAUCAAAUGCUCACAUAUUUGCAUUUACAACCAUAUACCCAUCAUCAUCAUGCACACCAUCCCAUCAUCAUCAUUCCCAACUCAUGCGCACUCCCUACUAGCACAUGGCUAGGUCAUCACUGGGUUAUGCGCACUCCCUACUCGCACAUAACCGAGUCAUCAUCGGCUUAUGCGCACUCCCUACUCGCACAUAGCCGAGUCAGCAACGGAUUAUGUGCACUCCUACUCGCACAUAGCUGAGUCCACAUCAACAUGCAAAGAAGCAUCCAAUGCAUAUCAUGCAUUUUAUCAUAUUGUGAUAACACAUAAACCAUUGUAUAGCACAUUUUCUCAAUAUAAAAUCAUUUUACUAAAAGCUUGUUCCUAAGGUACAUUUUUAAGAAAAGUUGUAUAAAAUCAUUCAAACACUUUGCACAAAACAAUUACAUUCCCAAAAAUAGUUUUGAUAGGCAGUCCACUCACCGGUAUUAGGAGUAGAAAUACUCCUAUUUUCAAUCAGCGGGUAAAGUCCUUUACCCGUAUCCAAUGGCUCACCACCUAACCAUAAUCUAUGACACAUAUUUCAAUUAAAUUAUGUCUAACAGUCAUAAGCUAUUUCAGGCUCGAUAUAUAUAUGAUAUGAGAUUAAAAAUGCACAAGUAGCCAUCUAGACCCGGUAUUGGCCUAAGUUAAUUUUUCAUUCGAUAAACUAGCCAAUGCGUCCAAUUUCACUCCAACUUGCUCCAUUUCUUUUCCAAUCCCUCAAUUCACCAAGCACAAACUAAUUAACACACAAUUAGGCAAAAUUUAUCUUCAUUUUUCUUCUUGAAUCUUUCAGCCAACAAUGGUACACUAACUCCGUGAUUUUUCCUACUUAAUUUCCUCACCAUUAUUCAUUAAUUCCUACACCAAAAACUAUUAUUUCUUAAUCAAAUCACCUAAAAACACUAACAUACCUAAAAAUCAAACUAAUCCAAGAUCAUUCUCUCUCCAUACCUAUUUUGCCUACCACUUAUUCACUAUGAAAUCAUGUUUUUCAAACAUAGAAAUAAGAAAAUAAAGCAUGGGUAUUGUAAAUCUCAAGUAAAAAUAAAGAAUUUUCACUUACCUUGCUUAAUUCCUUGGAAUCCCACACUUUUUCUUCAAUUUUCCCACCUAGGGUUUGUGUUCUUUCCUUUCC
rnacentral:lncRNA from 1 species